rnacentral:lncRNA from 1 species
ACUCUCUAGAGUCUUAUCUUAGACAUACUAAGACGACUAUAAAAUUUUAAUAUUUUGUCAUUAAUACAACACAAGUAUAAAGACAAUCCACAUUGCACAUACUUAAUGCCAAUAUGAUUUAGUUUUAUCCUACCCACUACUCAUGUGUUAGGGAGAUCACCCAUGUGAUGGUUGAUCAUAAAGCCUGGUGACAUUAUUACAUGUCUAAUCAUGCAAUUAUGUUCAUGAACAUUUCAUAAGAAGAUAACAACUUUUAUUUCAUAAAUGAUUAAUACAAAAAAUAUAUGCCCAUUACGUUUGAAAUCUCAAUAGAAAAUUAAAGACUACGCAAACCUAAACUCUUCACAUGACCCAUAAAAGCAUCUUUAGAUAUGGGCUUACUCAAAGGAUCAAUAACCAUUUUGCUAGUGGCUAUAUACUUAAUAGUAACUUCCCU